rnacentral:rRNA from 1 species
CGCCUGUUUAUCAAAAACAUCGCCUCUUGCACAACCAUAAGAGGUCCAGCCUGCCCAGUGACUCUGUUCAACGGCCGCGGUAUCCUAACCGUGCGAAGGUAGCGCAAUCACCUGUUCUUUAAAUAAGGACUAGUAUGAAUGGCAUCACGAGGGUUAUACUGUCUCCUUUUUCUAAUCAGUGAAACUAAUCUUCCCGUGAAGAAGCGGGGAUAAUAAUAUAAGACGAGAAGACCCUAUGGAGCUUUAAACUAAGUAACAAAUAUCUUUUAUUUAUAAUUUCAAGAACAAUCAAAAUUAAUCAGAUAUUAUGAUUACCAGUUUUAGGUUGGGGUGACCAUGGAGUACAAUUCAACCUCCAUGCUGAAAUGAUUUUAAAUUUAAGCCACGAACAACAUUUCUAAGCAUCAACAUCUUGACAUCUAUUGACCCAAUUUUUGAUCAACGAACCAAGUUACCCUAGGGAUAACAGCGCAAUCCACUUCAAGAGCUCAUAUCGACAAGUGGGUUUACGACCUCGAUGUUGGAUCAGGGUAUCCUAGUGGUGCAGCCGCUACUAAAGG